UUUAAAUUUAGAGUUUGAUCCUGGCUCAGGACGAACGCUGGCGGCGUGCUUAACACAUGCAAGUCGAGCGAUGAAGCUUCCUUCGGGAAGUGGAUUAGCGGCGGACGGGUGAGUAACACGUGGGUAACCUGCCUCAAAGUGGGGGAUAGCCUUCCGAAAGGAAGAUUAAUACCGCAUAAUAUAAGAGAAUCGCAUGAUUUUCUUAUCAAAGAUUUAUUGCUUUGAGAUGGACCCGCGGCGCAUUAGCUAGUUGGUAAGGUAACGGCUUACCAAGGCAACGAUGCGUAGCCGACCUGAGAGGGUGAUCGGCCACAUUGGAACUGAGACACGGUCCAGACUCCUACGGGAGGCAGCAGUGGGGAAUAUUGCGCAAUGGGGGAAACCCUGACGCAGCAACGCCGCGUGGGUGAUGAAGGUCUUCGGAUUGUAAAGCCCUGUUUUCUAGGACGAUAAUGACGGUACUAGAGGAGGAAGCCACGGCUAACUACGUGCCAGCAGCCGCGGUAAUACGUAGGUGGCGAGCGUUGUCCGGAUUUACUGGGCGUAAAGGGUGCGUAGGCGGAUGUUUAAGUGGGAUGUGAAAUCCCCGGGCUUAACCUGGGGGCUGCAUUCCAAACUGGAUAUCUAGAGUGCAGGAGAGGAAAGCGGAAUUCCUAGUGUAGCGGUGAAAUGCGUAGAGAUUAGGAAGAACACCAGUGGCGAAGGCGGCUUUCUGGACUGUAACUGACGCUGAGGCACGAAAGCGUGGGUAGCAAACAGGAUUAGAUACCCUGGUAGUCCACGCCGUAAACGAUGGAUACUAGGUGUAGGGGGUAUCAACUCCCCCUGUGCCGCAGUUAACACAAUAAGUAUCCCGCCUGGGGAGUACGGUCGCAAGAUUAAAACUCAAAGGAAUUGACGGGGGCCCGCACAAGCAGCGGAGCAUGUGGUUUAAUUCGAAGCAACGCGAAGAACCUUACCUGGACUUGACAUCCCUUGCAUAGCCUAGAGAUAGGUGAAGCCCUUCGGGGCAAGGAGACAGGUGGUGCAUGGUUGUCGUCAGCUCGUGUCGUGAGAUGUUAGGUUAAGUCCUGCAACGAGCGCAACCCUUGUUAUUAGUUGCUACCAUUAAGUUGAGCACUCUAAUGAGACUGCCUGGGUAACCAGGAGGAAGGUGGGGAUGACGUCAAAUCAUCAUGCCCCUUAUGUCCAGGGCUACACACGUGCUACAAUGGUAGGUACAAUAAGACGCAAGACCGUGAGGUGGAGCAAAACUUAUAAAACCUAUCUCAGUUCGGAUUGUAGGCUGCAACUCGCCUACAUGAAGCUGGAGUUGCUAGUAAUCGCGAAUCAGAAUGUCGCGGUGAAUACGUUCCCGGGCCUUGUACACACCGCCCGUCACACCAUGAGAGCUGGUAACACCCGAAGUCCGUGAGGUAACCGUAAGGA
rnacentral:rRNA from 1 species